CACUUCCUCCUUCACCAGACCAUUCAUGGCUGUUGCGGAGGAAGGUGGACUGAUGUCGGCUGGAUAUAUUAUUUGCUGCUGAACAGUUUUUCAUAUCAUUCUGUACAGAAUAAAUACACCAUCAGUAGGCUGACCUGAAAUGCCUGAGCGGUCGUCACUAGACAACGCAGAGUCAAACAAGUAGCACGCCUGAGGCCGGCUACAUUGGUGCCGUGACGAUCCGGAUUCAUCUUGGAUCAACAACAGCUUGGUCAUCGAGGGCUGCUGAUCAUCACCAAGAGGUUCCUUUAAAUUUGCUGGUUGCAAAGCUACGCUGUUACACAGUUGAAAGGACUUUGAAAGAAAAGGGGUUGUUUCAUUUUUUUUCCCCUUGCAUUCUUUUUUAUUGUUGUUGUGUAUCUCAACUAAGUUUGAUAGAUUAAGAACCAUUGUUUCAUUAUAAUAUAGGGUUAAGGUUGUUGUUUUUUUUUAUUAAAAAUGGCUUCCAAGUUUGAAGAAGCAGAUGUAGCUACAACAAAUGAGAAUCCUCUAGGCCUUGGCAGAGGAAGGUUUUUGAGGGAGCUUUGUGAUACCCCUGUCAGAAAUGCAGACAAUGUUGGUUCACCAGCCUUUAGCUCCACUCGGUUACCUAGUCAUCCAACCGCUUUGCCUAAACUCGCUGAUCAGCUGUCAGCAACGUCAGACAUAAGUGAUCUAGCUUUAAAAAAAUUUCAUCACACACAUAGCACAGGAAGUCAGAUAGGUUAUAUCUACUCAGUUAAAGGGAGAAGGUAAGGCAGAUGAGGACAGAGAUGCACGAGCUCAGAGUUCAGGUACAAAUCAGACUCUCAAUAUCCUUACACAUAACCUGGCAGGCAUAAGAUUAGUUAUGCAAGCUAAUGUCAGGGAACCUCCCAGUUUUAGAGGAGAUGUGUCAGAUAAGCUAUCAGUGUAUGAGUGGGAGGAACUUCCACAUACCUGAGGAAGAGAGGUGUACCACAUGGAGAACAGCAUCAGGAGAUUUUAUAUAAGUUAAU